rnacentral:rRNA from 1 species
CUACGGGCGGCACCAGUGGGGAAUAUUGCACAAUGGAGGAAACUCUGAUGCAGCAACGCCGCGUGGAGGAUGACACUUUUCGGAGCGUAAACUCCUUUUAUAUAGGAAGAAGAUGACGGUACUAUAUGAAUAAGCGCCGGCUAACUCCGUGCCAGCAGCCGCGGUAAUACGGAGGGCGCAAGCGUUACUCGGAAUCACUGGGCGUAAAGAGCGUGUAGGCGGAUUAAAAAGUCAGAAGUGAAAUCCUAUAGCUUAACUAUAGAACUGCUUCUGAAACUCUUAAUCUAGAAUAUGGGAGAGGUAGAUGGAAUUUCUGGUGUAGGGGUGAAAUCCGUAGAGAUCAGAAGGAGUACCGAUUGCGAAGGCGAUCUACUAGAACAUUAUUGACGCUGAGACGCGAAAGCGUGGGGAGCAAACAGGAUUAGAUACCCGUGUAGUC